rnacentral:rRNA from 1 species
UAUUAUGAGAGUUUGAUCCUGGCUCAGGACGAACGCUGGCGGCGUGCCUAAUACAUGCAAGUCGAACGCUUCUUUCCUCCCGAGUGCUUGCACUCAAUUGGAAAGAGGAGUGGCGGACGGGUGAGUAACACGUGGGUAACCUACCCAUCAGAGGGGGAUAACACUUGGAAACAGGUGCUAAUACCGCAUAACAGUUUAUGCCGCAUGGCAUAAGAGUGAAAGGCGCUUUCGGGUGUCGCUGAUGGAUGGACCCGCGGUGCAUUAGCUAGUUGGUGAGGUAACGGCUCACCAAGGCCACGAUGCAUAGCCGACCUGAGAGGGUGAUCGGCCACACUGGGACUGAGACACGGCCCAGACUCCUACGGGAGGCAGCAGUAGGGAAUCUUCGGCAAUGGACGAAAGUCUGACCGAGCAACGCCGCGUGAGUGAAGAAGGUUUUCGGAUCGUAAAACUCUGUUGUUAGAGAAGAACAAG